AUGUCUCUAAGACAAGCUUGGACAUUGACCUGCUCUGUCUCAGUUUUCUGUACAAUGGGGAUGAAAAUUUUCCACUGUUUUCUGAUUGUUACUUACACAAAAAUAAAGAAUCCACAGCUUAAGUGAGAUCAAGUGGGUAGCUUAUGUGGGUGACUGAAUCAUCACAGGUGCAUCUGUCAACAGCUGGAUGCAGCUGGGCUCUCUGUUGCACCUUUUGUGUGCUGCUAGGGCAGUUGCACAAAUGUUGUGCUGUGUAAUCGAACGGUGCACUCAAUAAAAGGGUAAAACUGGGCAAGUGUUAAUGCUCACUUGGUAUUUCUUUGCAUUUGAUUUGUGAGACUGAGAUGGUCGUAUUAUUCACUGAAACGUGAAGCUGGUGAGAUGUAAAAGACUUGCAGUUUGGAUAUUUUGAGAACCUCUGUUGGGGAAAAAAAGGGGUUUUUAAAAAUUG